rnacentral:circRNA from 1 species
GUGCUGCUGCGCCUGGGCGAUGAGCUGGAGAUGAUCCGGCCCAGCGUCUACCGCAACGUGGCGCGUCAGCUGCACAUCUCCCUGCAGUCUGAGCCUGUGGUGACCGAUGCGUUCCUGGCCGUGGCUGGCCACAUCUUCUCUGCAGACUGAUGUCCUCAAGUGUGUGGUCAGCACAGACCCUGGCCUCCGCUCCCACUGGCUGGUGGCUGCACUCUGCAGCUUCGGCCGCUUCCUGAAGGCUGCCUUCUUC